rnacentral:piRNA from 1 species
GGACAUCCUUUUAGUGUCUCAACUUAAA